GACGAACGCUGGCGGCGUGCCUAAUACAUGCAAGUCGAACGCAGUGGGGACGGGUGAGUAACACGUGGGUAACCUCCCAUCAGAGGGGAUAACACUUGGAAACAGGUGCUAAACCGAUACUGAUGGAUGGACCCGAGGUGCAUUAGCUAGUUGGUGAGGUAACGGAUCAACAAGGCCACGAUGCAUAGCCGACCGUAGAGGUUGAUCGGCAACACUGGUACGGAGCAACGGCCCAGACUCCUACGGGAGGCAGCAGUAGGGAAUCUUCGGCAAUGGACGAAAGUCUGACCGAGCAACGUCGCGUGAGUGAAGAAGGUUUUCGGAUCGUAAAACUCUGUUGUUAGAGAAGCGGUAUCUAACCAGAAAGCCACGGCUAACUACGUGCCAGCCGCCGCGGUAAUUC
rnacentral:rRNA from 1 species